ACAAAUGAAUAGAAAAAUAAUAGAUACAAAAAAAAACAAUUACAAAAUAUCUGAUUGGUUAAGAUAAUGGGGCCAAUCAAGUUUAAGAGAAAAAAGAUGUAGCCAAUCACAUUAAAGGGUGCAGAUCAUUGUGUAACCACAACCAUUGAUGAAAGUUAAUCUAAUGGACACAAAUGCAUAGAUGUUAGAAACAUUUUUUUUUCUUCUAUCUCCUCCUUCCUCUCUUUCUUCCACCGUGACUUUUCUCCUUCCUUUUACAGUGAAAAAAAAUCUGGAUUCUCAAUCAAUCUCUCUUUCUCUUCAUACCUUUUGCCAUCUUAUGUUAUUUCUCUCAUCAAGCAGUUCAUUGAAACUAAUUUCUCUGCUCUCUGUUUUUUUUUCAAAUCGAAUUGAUUCUCCCUACCAUGAAUUUCUCUGCUCUCUUUUUUUUUUCAGAUCGAAUUGUUCAAGUUCCCCGUCUCAGUUUCUUCCUUCUUUGACUUCAAUGAAAGCGGAGAUGGUGAAUCCUCGGAAGCUGCGUCGCAGGAGGCGCACGGAAGCUGUAGUGGGGGAGACCCUGAGGCCGGAAGCAGAGACGACGGCGUCUCCGGUCAAGGAUGGAGAAGGCCAGGCGCACUGGUUGAGGAGGCACACAUGGAAGAUGCGCACAUGGAGAAGGGCGGCUGGAGUUUUUUUUUUUUUUAGUUUCGUGUUUUUUUUUAGGGUUUUCCGAUUUAGUGUGAACCGAAUUGGAUAAACCGUUGUGGUUUACUUUAUUUUUAUUUUUUCUGGUUUAGUUUUGUAAACCGAAAUUUAUUUAUCAAUAAAUUUUAUUUUAUUUUUAA